rnacentral:rRNA from 1 species
AGCAGCCGCGGUAAUUCCAGCUCCAAUAGCGUAUAUUAAAGUUGUUGCUGUUAAAAAGCUCGUAGUUGAAUUUCGGGGUCAGUAGGUUGGUCGUGCCACCGGUACGUACUGGUCUCACUGAUUCCUCCUUCCUGAAGAACCGUAAUGCCAUUAAUUUGGUGUUGCGGGGAAACAGGACUGUUACUUUGAAAAAAUUAGAGUGUUUAAAGCAGGCAAUCGCUUGAAUACAUUAGCAUGGAAUAAUGAAAUAGGACGUUCGAUCCUAUUUUGUUGGUUUCUAGGAUUGACGUAAUGAUUAAUAGGGAUAGUUGGGGGCAUUAGUAUUCAAUUGUCAAAGGUGAAAUUCUUGGAUUUAU